rnacentral:rRNA from 1 species
AUUGAACGCUGGCGGCAUGCUUUACACAUGCAAGUCGAACGGUAACAGGUUAAGCUGACGAGUGGCGAACGGGUGAGUAAUGCAUCGGAACGUGCCCGGUCGUGGGGGAUAACGCAGCGAAAGCUGCGCUAAUACCGCAUACGAUCUGAGGAUGAAAGCGGGGGACCGUAAGGCCUCGCGCGAUCGGAGCGGCCGAUGUCAGAUUAGGUAGUUGGUGGGGUAAAGGCUCACCAAGCCAACGAUCUGUAGCUGGUCUGAGAGGACGACCAGCCAAACUGGGAGUGAGACACGGCCCAGACUCCUACGGGAGGCAGCAGUGGGGAAUUUUGGACAAUGGGCGAAAGCCUGAUCCAGCAAUGCCGCGUGCAGGAAGAAGGCCUUCGGGUUGUAAACUGCUUUUGUACGGAGCGAAAAGGUCUCCUCUAAUACAGGGGGCUCAUGACGGUACCGUAAGAAUAAGCACCGGCUAACUACGUGCCAGCAGCCGCCGUAA